CCUACGGGUUGCAGCAGUGGGGAAUAUUGCACAAUGGGCGCAAGCCUGAUGCAGCCAUGCCGCGUGUAUGAAGAAGGCCUUCGGGUUGUAAAGUACUUACAGCGAGGAGGAAGGCAUUAAGGUUAAUAACCUUGGUGAUUGACGUUACCCGCAGAAGAAGCACCGGCUAACUCCGUGCCAGCAGCCGCGGUAAUACGAAGGGUGCAAGCGUUAAUCGGAAUUACUGGGCGUAAAGCGCACGCAGGCGGUUUGUUAAGUCGGAUGUGAAAUCCCCGGGCUCAACCUGGGAACUGCAUUCGAAACUGGCAAGCUUGAGUCUUGUAGAGGGGGGUAGAAUUCCAGGUGUAGCGGUGAAAUGCGUAGAGAUCUGGAGGAAUACCGGUGGCGAAGGCGGCCCCCUGGACAAAGACUGACGCUCAGGUGCGAAAGCGUGGGGAGCAAGCAGGAUUAGAUACCCCAGUAGUC
rnacentral:rRNA from 1 species